rnacentral:rRNA from 1 species
AACGAACGCUGGCGGCAGGCUUAACACAUGCAAGUCGAACGCCCCCUUCGGGGGGAGUGGCAGACGGGUGAGUAACGCGUGGGAACGUGCCAUUCAGUUCGGACUAACCCAGGGAAAAUUGGGCUAAUACCGGAUACGUGCGAGAGCAGAAAGAUUUAUCGCUGAAGGAUCGGCCCGCGUCUGAUUAGCUGGUUGGUGAGGUAACGGCUCACCAAGGCGACGAUCAGUAGCUGGUCUGAGAGGAUGAUCAGCCACAUUGGGACUGAGACACGGCCCAAACUCCUACGGGAGGCAGCAGUGGGGAAUAUUGGACAAUGGGCGCAAGCCUGAUCCAGCCAUGCCGCGUGAGUGAUGAAGGCCUUAGGGUUGUAAAGCUCUUUCGGCUGGGACGAUAAUGACGGUACCCGCAGAAGAAGCCCCGGCUAACUUCGUGCCAGCAGCCGCCGUAAGAC